rnacentral:rRNA from 1 species
UACGGGGGGGGCAAGCGUUGUUCGGAAUUACUGGGCGUAAAGGGCGCGUAGGCGGCCCGUCAAGUCCCGUGUGAAAGCCCCCGGCUCAACCGGGGAACUGCACGGGAAACUAGCAGGCUUGAGUUCGGGAGAGGGAAGCGGAAUUUCGGGUGUAGCGGUGAAAUGCGCAGAUACGUACGAAGGAACACCGGUGGCGAAGGCGGCUUCCUGGACCGACACUGACGCUGAGGCGCGAAAGCUAGGGGAGCAAACGGG